rnacentral:misc_RNA from 1 species
AAAAUUUCUAAUCAGAUCAUACAUACGAUGCAAGAAGUUCCCCUACAAGAUAUAAAACUAACUUCGUGGGUUUGCACUCGCCCCGGUUUUAUGCUCCUUUCCUGACGGUGAAUCCACGCUCCUCCAGAACGCGUGACCGCAAACCGUUAACGAAAAAGAAUACGAAAAAAAAUAUAUACAUAUACACUCAAUAUUUUCUCUGCUUCUCUUCUUCAACCUUAAACAAUCGAAAACGAAGAGAUCAAUCUCUCUCUCUCUCUCUGAAAAAAGUAAAAAGAAAUCCUCCAAUGGGUCCCUUUCCCAAAUCCCUAACUUUCCUUCAAGUUCCUGCACUUUUCAUUGCUUUCUUCCUCUUUCUCUCUACUCUCUUCCCAUUUUUCGCAGCAUCCCAGCUGUCCAUCUACGACCACCUCCACCAAAACGGCCUCCCCAUUGGCCUCCUCCCUAAGGGCAUUACCGACUUUUCAGUCGAGCCCACCACCGGUCACUUCCAGAUAAAUCUAACCCAACCUUGCAAUGCCAAAUUCGAGAACCAGCUACACUACGAUUUCAACAUUUCUGGACUCCUUUCCUUUGGAAUGAUCGGUGAAUUAUCCGGUGUGUCUCAGCAGGAGCUCUUCCUUUGGUUUCCAGUUAAGGGUAUACGCGUCGAUGUCCCCAGCUCUGGUUUGAUAUACUUUGAUGUUGGAGUUGUGGACAAGCAGUUCUCUUUGUCCUUGUUUGAGAACCCUAUCGAAUGCACUGCUGCUGAUCCUAGUGAUGGGCCCAUUGAUUCGCGGGGAUCGGACGACUCUAGGUAUCAACCAGGAAGGCUUGAAUUUGAAAUGGCGCAAGGGAACUUGAGGGCUGCUUUAUAGAUUGCGGAGACAUAUAUAUAUUUUUAAAGGUUUAGAUGUUGCCUCUGGAUUCUUCAUGCCAAAAGAGACUGCUGGGGAGUUUGGUUUGACAGAUCCUAUGUCUUUUGUAUGUGUGCUUGUUUGCUGUCCUGUACAGAUUUUUAGGCCUGAUACUUCUGAGUUCUGUCUCUGCAUUGAGAAGUAUAGCAGUUUUGACCAAGAGAAGAGAAAAGAACAGUUAAUAAGCAUCGGAUCUUAUUUUGCAUGAAGAUUCGUGAGAUGAGGACCCUUAUUUUCAGCUGGUAAGUUUGCUGGAGAUUUACUUGGUUGCUGUUGUCAUACCACUAUACAUACAGAUGUAUGAGCGUGUUGCAAUUGUGUUGUUGUAAAUGGAGAGAAUUGUUUGUGUUUGUACAUUGUUAUCAUUAAGUGUCAGUCACAUGUGAUAAACUAAACUACCAUUAAAUUAUGUCUUCACGUGUGUUGGCUGUUUUUGUUCCUCAACUUUUUAUUCUUAUAUUGGCAGUCACGGUUAUCUGAUGUUUUAGUCGCUUUUAUUAUGCCUAUAGCCAUCAUGACACCAAACCUAUUCCUAACUGCCUGUCUGCCUGCCGCGUUGGUCUGUACCAUCUUUCUAAGGGGCUUGAUCCUGUGAAUUGCAUUUAUCUCUACGGUAGAAAGAGUGAUAGCAUGUUUUUCAGCUAUAAUGGAAUAAAAAUGAAAUCGUAUGAUGAAUGAGAAUUUUGUUCCCUUGCCUUGAAACAAAGAAUUCAACAGUUGCUACAACGGAAUUAAAGGAUCGUUGAUAAGCUUGCUUAUAGAAAGCUGAUGUAUGUGCCGAUUUACCUGCCAAUCAAUGCUCUGAAACUUCACAUUGGGGCGCACUUUCUCAUUAGCCCUGAUUGGGAUGAGUGAUGUCCUAGUUAGAUAUUGGAGUUGGGUGGCCAUGCUGUGUGAGUUCAUUAUUUACUGGAUUGCUGCCUUGGAUUUGACCAAAAAUAGAAAGCACUAUGAUCAGUGUGGAAAUGUCUUUAGGAUGUCAGGAAGACUAUAUUCUGUGAAGCUAACCGAAAGAUUAAUACGAGAAUGAAGUGAGGUGGCUGAUGACUUGCGAGAACUGCAGGUUUUUUCCCCGUUGCAAGGAUAGAGUUUAUUAAGUUGGUUUCUAAUUCUUGGCUGUUUUCAUCUCAAUAGAAAUGAACGGCUGUGGAUUAUGUCAUUUUUUCAUUUGAAGUUUGUUUUCUGAAGAGAAUUAAGGUUUCUGAUAGGCAGGGACAAGAUUAACCAUUCAUUAAUGGAAUUGAAGAUUUUAAAUUUGUCUCUGUAUACGUUUU